CGCAUGUAGUCUGUGUGCACUCAGGAUCGGGCGUGAGCCUCCAUCAGUCGGCGGAAUCAUAAUAGUUCUGGCCCGGACUCGUCGGAACGAGCGCGCGAACUGUUUCUUUCUUUGGAUCAGUUCGGACUGGAGGCUUUGUGGACAGAGUUUAUAACAGUUCAAUCUUUUCUUCAGCCCUGGAUUAAUAGGAAAUGAACACAUCGGCCAUCCCCCACUCUUCCACUACUGAUGAUUUGUUGGGUGUCAUGUGAGGGUUAUGACAUUCCCACUUCUCCACUUGCCUCAUCAAUGUUUCCCGUAAAGCCACCAAACAAUGUGUAUGAACAUUUUACAGUUUUUUAUGGGUUUCACAUGACUAGUUGGAGUUGGAUAUUGUAUUUUGGCUAUAAAAUCUUUGUUAUUUAUACCAUGGU